rnacentral:misc_RNA from 1 species
GAUGAAGAACGUAGCAAAAUGCGAUAAGUAGUGUGAAUUGCAGAAUUCAGUGAAUCAUCGAAUCUUUGAACGCACAUUGCGCCCCUUGGUAUUCCGAGGGGCAUGCCUGUUCGAGCGUCAUUACACCACUCAAGCUAUGCUUGGUAUUGGGCGUCGUCCUUAGUUGGGCGCGCCUUAAAGACCUCGGCGAGGCCACUCCGGCUUUAGGCGUAGUAGAAUUUAUUCGAACGUCUGUCAAAGGAGAGGAACUCUGCCGACUGAAACCUUUAUUUUUCUAGGUUGACCUCGGAUCAGGUAGGGAUACCCGCUGAACUUAAGCAUAUCAAUAAGCGGAGGA